UACGUAGGUGGCAAGCGUUGUCCGGAAUUAUUGGGCGUAAAGCGCGCGCAGGCGGUCCUUUAAGUCUGAUGUGAAAGCCCACGGCUCAACCGUGGAGGGUCAUUGGAAACUGGGGGACUUGAGUACAGAAGAGAAGAGUGGAAUUCCACGUGUAGCGGUGAAAUGCGUAGAGAUGUGGAGGAACACCAGUGGCGAAGGCGACUCGGUGGGCUGUAACUGACGCUGAGGCGCGAAAGCGUGGGGAGCAAACAGG
rnacentral:rRNA from 1 species